GACGAACGCUGGCGGCGCGCUUAACACAUGCAAGUCGAGCGAUAACCAUGGCUUCGGCCAUGGGGAGAGCGGCGAACGGGUGAGUAACACGUGUGCGAUCUGCCCUCGACACCGGGAUAGCCCGGGGAAACCCGGAUUAAUACCGGAUGGCCUCUCGAGCCCACGGGCUCGUUAGAAAAGAUGGCUUCGGCUUUCGGUCGAGGAGGAGCUUGCGGCGGAUUAGCUUGUUGGUGGGGUAACGGCUCACCAAGGCGACGAUCCGUAGCUGGUCUGAGAGGACGAUCAGCCACACUGGGACUGAGACACGGCCCAGACUCCUACGGGAGGCAGCAGUGGGGAAUCUUGCGCAAUGGGCGAAAGCCUGACGCAGCGACGCCGCGUGAGGGAAGAAGGCCUUCGGGUUGUAAACCUCUUUCAGGAGGGACGAAGCCACUCGGGUUAAUACCCCAGAGGGUGACGGUACCUCCAGAAGAAGCCCCGGCUAACUACGUGCCAGCCGCCGCGGUAAAAC
rnacentral:rRNA from 1 species